GAGCUUAAUUUUUAUUUUUUAUAAAUUAAUAAGAUUAAUAAGAGUUUAUAAUAAAAUUAAAAAUUUUACUGGGGUGGUAUUAAAAUUUAAUUAACUUUUAUAUUUAUAAACAUUAAUAUAUGAAUAAAUGAUCCAAUUUUAUUGAUUAAAAAUUUAAGUUACCUUAGGGAUAACAGCGUAAUUUUUUUUUAGAGUUCAUAUCGACAAAAAAGAUUGC
rnacentral:rRNA from 1 species